ACUCCUACGGGAGGCAGCAGUGGGGAAUCUUGGACAAUGGGCGCAAGCCUGAUCCAGCCAUGCCGCGUGAGUGAUGAAGGCCUUAGGGUCGUAAAGCUCUUUCGCCAGAGAUGAUAAUGACAGUAUCUGGUAAAGAAACCCCGGCUAACUCCGU
rnacentral:rRNA from 1 species